GCUUACGGCCACACCGCCUGGUUCCACGAUCUCGUUUGAUCUCGGAAUCUAAGAUAGGUUGGUCCUGGUUAGUACUUGGAUGGGAGACCGCCUGGGAAUACCAGGUGCUGUAAGCU
rnacentral:rRNA from 1 species